UUGGGCGUAAAGAGAGUGCAGGCGGUUUUCUAAGUCUGAUGUGAAAGCCUUCGGCUUAACCGGAGAAGUGCAUCGGAAACUGGAUAACUUGAGUGCAGAAGAGGGUAGUGGAACUCCAUGUGUAGCGGUGGAAUGCGUAGAUAUAUGGAAGAACACCAGUGGCGAAGGCGGCUACCUGGUCUGCAACUGACGCUGAGACUCGAAAGCAUGGGUAGCGAACAGGAUUAGAUACCCUGGUAGUCCAUGCCGUAAACGAUGAGUGCUAGGUGUUGGAGGGUUUCCGCCCUUCAGUGCCGGAGCUAACGCAUUAAGCACUCCGCCUGGGGAGUACGACCGCAAGGUUGAAACUCAAAGGAAUUGACGGGGGCCCGCACAAGCGGUGGAGCAUGUGGUUUAAUUCGAAGCUACGCGAAGAACCUUACCAGGUCUUGACAUCUUGCGCCAACCCUAGAGAUAGGGCGUUUCCUUCGGGAACGCAAUGACAGGUGGUGCAUGGUCGUCGUCAGCUCGUGUCGUGAGAUGUUGGGUUAAGUCCCGCAACGAGCGCAACCCUUGUUACUAGUUGCCAGCAUUAAGUUGGGCACUCUAGUGAGACUGCCGGUGACAAACCGGAGGAAGGUGGGGACGACGUCAGAUCAUCAUGCCCCUUAUGACCUGGGCUACACACGUGCUACAAUGGACGGUACAACGAGUCGCGAACUCGCGAGGGCAAGCAAAUCUCUUAAAACCGUUCUCAGUUCGGACUGCAGGCUGCAACUCGCCUGCACGAAGUCGGAAUCGCUAGUAAUCGCGGAUCAGCAUGCCGCGGUGAAUACGUUCCCGGGCCUUGUACACACCGCCCGUCACACCAUGAGAGUUUGUAACACCCAAAGUCGGUGGGGUAACCUUUUAGGAGCCAGCCGCCUAAGG
rnacentral:rRNA from 2 species